rnacentral:hammerhead_ribozyme from 1 species
GUCCAGCUGACGAGUCUCAAAUAGGACGAAACGUGCGUCUAUACUGGAU